AGAAGUAUUAUUAAGAGAAAGAAAGAGAAAUACAAUCAUGGGGAAUAAGACAUCCUCCAAACAGGAACACUAGAAUAGACAAUAAAGAUAGAGGAAAAUGGUCAUCAUGUGGGAGGACAAAUGAUUGCCUCCAAGUUCCAAUGGACCUCAGCAAGAGAAUUGUCAGAAUAACUCCUGUAAGCUUUGGCCCAAAAAGUAACCAGAAAAGUCAAUCUGUCCCACAUCUCUUGAAAUGAGGAGUAAUGAUCAUAAAAAAUGCUCCAACUGUGCUCAAGCCAAACAGGCCUGCAAAAACAGUCCCCGGCCAAAUGGUUUUGGCCCUCUUGGAGACUUCUUUCCCUUGAAAGCUAGCUCGUAUUAAACUGUCCACUUUUGGAGGAACAAACCCAAUAAAAACCAAUCAUGGCAAAUACCUUAGUCCAUAUCUUAUGCUAUCUCACAAUGAAGGAACAAACGGGGUUGAGUUUCGCCAUCUUUAUAACACAUAAAGUAGAUGUUUGGAGAUAGGGCUCUAUUGGAUUGAUGGAUUUGUAACAUCUCAUUUUUGUUGAGCCUUUGGUGAAUGAUAAUCCAAACAAAUACUUUGAAGGAACUGGAGAUUUCUAAACUCCCUUGGCAAUAGGCAAAGGGAGACAUGUGGGGGUCUAUGGUGUGGUGAUCAAACAUGGAUUUACUAGUAUAUGGGCCUAAGGGUUCGAUGGUCCAAAUUUUUGUCAGUAUGUGGAUUAACAUUUAUUGGCUCCAACAAAGAUAUCAAAUUGAGUAUGUCAGGAGUCUCCCUUUCAGAAAUGUUAUGUGUGAAGUGAAAGUUGUAGGAAACACUGCCCUUAGUAAAUGAUGCAAAACUUGAUAUCGGAGUAUUAUGUCUAGAUGAGGUAUUAAACAACUGAGGGAAUUGAGUGACUAAGGGUCGAUCACCAGUCCAAGGAUUUUCACAAAACAACUCUAAAACUGUCUUUCACUUUUAGUCAGGUUAAAGGUUUAUAAAGUGGUAGGGUCUGGGAUAUGACUUGACAGGA
rnacentral:lncRNA from 1 species